rnacentral:rRNA from 1 species
AGUGAACGCUGGCGGUAGGCCUAACACAUGCAAGUCGAACGGCAGCACAGUAAGAGCUUGCUCUUACGGGUGGCGAGUGGCGGACGGGUGAGGAAUACAUCGGAAUCUACUUUUUCGUGGGGGAUAACGUAGGGAAACUUACGCUAAUACCGCAUACGACCUACGGGUGAAAGCAGGGGAUCUUCGGACCUUGCGCGAUUGAAUGAGCCGAUGUCGGAUUAGCUAGUUGGCGGGGUAAAGGCCCACCAAGGCGACGAUCCGUAGCUGGUCUGAGAGGAUGAUCAGCCACACUGGAACUGAGACACGGUCCAGACUCCUACGGGAGGCAGCAGUGGGGAAUAUUGGACAAUGGGCCCAAGCCUGAUCCAGCCAUACCGCGUGAGUGAAGAAGGCCUUCGGGUUGUAAAGCCCUUUUGUUGGGAAAGAAAAGCAGCAGGUUAAUACCCCGCUGUUCUGACGGUACCCAAAGAAUAAGCACCGGCUAACUUCGUG